CUACGGGUUGCUCCAGUGAGGAAUAUUGCACAAUGGGGGAACCCUGAUGCAGCAACGCCGCGUGGAGGAUGACGCAUUUCGGUGUGUAAACUCCUUUUAUAUGUCAAGAAAAUGACGGUAGCAUAUGAAUAAGCACCGGCUAACUCCGUGCCAGCAGCCGCGGUAAUACGGAGGGUGCAAGCGUUACUCGGAAUCACUGGGGUAAAGGACGCGUAGGCGGGUUGGAAAGUCAGGUGUGAAAUCCUACAGCUUAACUGUAGAACUGCACUUGAAACUUCUAAUCUAGAGUAUGGGAGGGGGAGAUGGAAUUAGUGGUGUAGGGGUCAAAUCCGUAGAUAUCACUAGGAAUACCUAAAGCGAAGGCGAUCUCCUGGAACAUUACUGACGCUAAGGCGUGAAGGCGUGGGGAGCAAACAGGAUUAGAUACCCCCGUAGUC
rnacentral:rRNA from 1 species